rnacentral:rRNA from 1 species
UACGUAGGGGGCAAGCGUUGUCCGGAUUUAUUGGGCGUAAAGAGCGUGUAGGCGGCCAGACAAGUCUGCUGUGAAAACUCGAGGCUCAACCUCGAGCUGUCGGUGGAAACUGGCUGGCUAGAGUCCGGAAGAGGAGAGUGGAAUUCCUGGUGUAGCGGUGAAAUGCGCAGAUAUCAGGAAGAACACCUAUGGCGAAGGCAGCUCUCUGGGACGGUACUGACGCUGAGACGCGAAAGCGUGGGGAGCGAACAGG